CUUCCUGAUGCAAAGAGAAGAAAAUCGUGGCUUUAUGCUUUAUAUAGAAUUGAUUCAUCUUGCAAAAACAAACUUUGGUUGCAAAACAUGUCUAAGUAUGCUCAAAACAUUUUGUAUCUGUAGAGUUUCUGCUGUUGUCACUGGUUUUAGAGAGUACCUUCGUGAAUGAAGAUAAAAAGUCAUUUAUGUUAUUUUUUAAAAGCCAAGACAUAAUAUUGUUAAUCCUCAUACCAUUUAC